rnacentral:rRNA from 1 species
UCCACGCCGUAAACGAUGAUUACUCGUUGUGUGCGAUACACUGUACGCGACUGAGCGAAAGCAUUAAGUAAUCCACCUGGGGAGUACGAUCGCAAGGUUGAAACUCAAAGGAAUUGACGGGGGCCCGCACAAGCGGUGGAACAUGUGGUUUAAUUCGAUGAUACGCGAGGAACCUUACCUGGGCUUAAAUGCAGAACGACAGUUCCCGAAAGGGAAUCUUCUUCGGACGGACUGCAAGGUGCUGCAUGGUUGUCGUCAGCUCGUGCCGUGAGGUGUCGGGUUAAGUCCCAUAACGAGCGCAACCCCUAUCGUUAGUUGCCAGCGGAUAAUGCCGGGGACUCUAACGAGACUGCCGCCGUAAGGCGUGAGGAAG